rnacentral:misc_RNA from 1 species
UGAAUCAGUAGCUUGCUACUGCAUUGGGGGAGAUGGGAAAGUCCCGGCUGAAAAGUCGGUGUACCGGUACCUGCAACCCUAUCAUAUCCUUGUCUUUUGAGUACUUAUGUUUCCUUGGUAGGCUUGCCUGCCAAUAGGACAAAUUUUAAACCUUUUUAAAUAUCAAUCAGCGUCUGAAAAAAUUUAAUAAUUA